rnacentral:rRNA from 1 species
UACGUAGGGUGCAGGCGUUAAUCGGAAUUACUGGGCGUAAAGCGUGCGCAGGCGGUUUGCUAAGACAGGUGUGAAAUCCCCAGGCUCAACCUGGGAACUGCGUCCGAUACUGGAUGGCUUGAAUCCGGGAGAGGGAUGCAGAAUUCCAGGUGUAGCGGUGAAAUGCGUAGAUAUCUGGAGGAAUACCGGUGGCGAAGGCGGCAUCCUGGACCGGCAUUGACGCUGAGGAGCGAAAGCCAGGGGAGCAAACGGG